GACAGAUGGGAGCUUGCUCCCUGAUGUUAGCGGCGGACGGGUGAGUAACACGUGGGUAACCUGCCUGUAAGACUGGGAUAACUCCGGGAAACCGGGGCUAAUACCGGAUGGUUGUUUGAACCGCAUGGUUCAGACAUAAAAGGUGGCUUCGGCUACCACUUACAGAUGGACCCGCGGCGCAUUAGCUAGUUGGUGAGGUAACGGCUCACCAAGGCAACGAUGCGUAGCCGACCUGAGAGGGUGAUCGGCCACACUGGGACUGAGACACGGCCCAGACUCCUACGGGAGGCAGCAGUAGGGAAUCUUCCGCAAUGGACGAAAGUCUGACGGAGCAACGCCGCGUGAGUGAUGAAGGUUUUCGGAUCGUAAAGCUCUGUUGUUAGGGAAGAACAAGUGCCGUUCAAAUAGGGCGGCACCUUGACGGUACCUAACCAGAAAGCCACGGCUAACUACGUGCCAGCAGCCGCGGUAAUACGUAGGUGGCAAGCGUUGUCCGGAAUUAUUGGGCGUAAAGGGCUCGCAGGCGGUUUCUUAAGUCUGAUGUGAAAGCCCCCGGCUCAACCGGGGAGGGUCAUUGGAAACUGGGGAACUUGACUGCAGAAGAGGAGAGUGGAAUUCCACGUGUAGCGGUGAAAUGGGUAAAGAUGUGGAAGAACACCAGUGGCGAAUGCGACUCUCUGGUCUGUGAGUGACGCUCAGGAGCGAAAGCCUGGGGAGCGAACACGAGUAGAUACCCUGGGAGUCCACGCCGCCACACGAUCAGUGCGUAG
rnacentral:rRNA from 1 species